CUCCAGCUAUUCCGUUUCUUUGAAAAAGAAAGUGAUAAAAUGUUGCCAUGGGCUUAUAAAAAUAUUUGGCAAUGUACCUCCCAAGAAACAGCAAAGAAACUUAAAAUUUUUUCUACCGAGAAAAUAAAUUGAAGGCUCAGAAAACUAGGAAAUAGAGUGCUUGACCAACUUUCUCCAAAGGAAGGAAUAGAUAUUCAGUUGAUUUACUGUGGUCAAGCGUUGGGAGGAGAAGGUACAACGAGGAGAGGGAUGGGCAAGGACAGGAGAGGUGAAUGCUGGGAAGCUGGACGGCAGGAGGGUGAGAACACACGCAGGGACCGCAGGAGUGGGGGCCCCGGGGAAGAAAGGGACAAAGGGACAGCAGGAUCGUUCGGUCGGACUCGUUUUUCUUAGUGCCCUUGAACGUGCCUCACAGCAAUGAAACCAACGUAAGCUGAGUGACCACGUGUCCAGAAAGAAGGGGACAAUGGAUUUGGUGGGAAAAGCCAUCAGCUAAAUUGCCUUUUGCUGUUUAAAAUGAAACCUCACCAGUUUGUCAAAAAAGCAGCAAAAUUUUGAUGUCUCAUUAAAAGAACUUGGUGAUCUGGGUCAGAUGUGAGAGGUAAGCACAACAUCUUCACUCUGUCCGGGCCCGGCCAUGAGGUGGAAUUAUGGAGCAGAUGGGUUUUCAUCCGUUCCCAGUGUCCCGGGGCCUUACUCCCUAUUCCUGGCGCAGCUGUCCAGAUGCCUGACCUUUCUAGUGAUUUCUGGAAAGACCUGCCUUUCCCAUAACCCAGUUCUAUAAAAUCUCGCACGGUGGUAUGGGGGAAAGAGCACGGGCUCCAUAGAGGGCACAUUCUGGAUCGAAAUCUAGUUCUGACGUGCACUAGAUGCUUUAGGGUCCCGUUAUUUAAUGUCUCUCCAAGCCUCAGUUUCUGCAUCUGUAAAAUGGAGGUAGCAUCUAGUCUGCAUAAAGGUUGUGAGUUUUAAACAAGAAUGCGACAUCCAGGACACAGGAGGUUCUCCAUAUUAAUGCGUUGCCUUCCUCCUCGCUUCUGUGCUUUCCGAGGUAUCUAGAUUAUUCAGCUUAACCUGCUCUUACUGAGACCUGUUGCUCCUAAGCCACAUGUGUGGAUAUUAACAACGAUCUGUGGGACCACCAGCAUAAAGUCAGCGUCUCUGCAUGGUACUUCUUCCAGUCGUACGAUGUGGGUAUGGAAAUGGAUCAAUAUGUUGUGAGUACUCUACGAAGAGCGUAAGGCGGACUCCCAGUUUCAUUGCUUCCUGGUUAUGCAAGCUUGGGUGAGUUUCCUCUCCUCUCUCAAUUCCACUUUCCUUGUCUGUAAUCUUUCCUCCUCAAAGGCAGGAGUGAAAAUUAGCAGAAAAGCCAUGCACAGUGCUUGGCACGGAGCAGGCAUUCCAGCGUGUUAGCCAGAAUCGUGAAUGCACCUUUCUCAUGCCUUCUGGGAGGUGGAGGCCACUUGCUUCACAAGGCAAGGAGGAGUAAAAUGACCCAAGCAUUUAUGCGGCCUUUAGAGCCACUGGAACGCCUCUCUUGAGGAAGUCUUUGAAGAGGUUAAGAAAGUUUUAAGGCCAUUUCUCUUUAGGGAAAUCUUUGCUUGCCUUUGGAAUUUUCUAACCCUGUCUCUUAGGAUAAACUAGCCUAGGAUAGUCAGGAUGCCGCUAUGGUGACAAACAGUCUCAUUUCUUGCUCAUGCCACCUACCCAUCCCAGGUCUGCCCCGACUGCCCUCCCUCAGGGAGGCAAGCUGACAGGCUUCCACCAUUUGGAGACCCCUGGAGAGGAGAGAGAAUGGGGCAGACUGAACACCAGAACCUAAGGGCUUCGCCCAAAAGUGCAACAUAUUUCCUCUGGCCUCAUUGUAUGAACCAAAGUGAGUCAUGUGGCAACACCUAAUGAUAAGUGGGUGGAGAAGUGCUAUCGAUGCUCCAAAGGCAGAGAACUGGAAAUACUGAUGAGCAUCAGUUAUUAGCACUCAGACAUUAACAAGAAUGCAGGGCAUCUGAACACACCCGUUCCAUUUGACCCAUAAAACAGCACUGAUGCCCGACACCCGCACCACAACCAUGGCAGAACAGAUGGCACUGUUUGAUUCCCAGAAGAAAAUUCAAAACAAGACUCACCAUUUUAUAGUCGAAUUUAAAGCGAUUUUUAGGAAUAGCUUUUUCUAGGAACUAACGAUCAGAUAAAGAUGGAUUUGGGACGUAUAGACUUGUAGCCUGAAGCGGUGGGUGGUCUUAUCUAUAAAUGAAAACCUGCAUGUAAUUUCUCCUAAUAGCAAUUAAGUAUCUAAUACGUAAUUUGUGUCGCUGAGGGGCUGAUAACAAAACCUCAGAGGAAAAGACCACAGAUUGGUGGAGACCAUAUUCCCAUUGUAAGCAUCAGCAGGAUGUUCUUUUUUUUUUUUGGUGAUAACUUUCAUGCCGACAGAUCUGUUGUUAAGGAGACCCCAGGUGUUCUACAUUAUGUUGGCAAAUUGGCCUUUCCUAAGAUCUCUCUUUAAAUAUAUCAUGUAUCCCCAGUGUGUGCACUUUCAAACAAGUGUAGGUUUAGAAGAGCUCACCAGUAGCAUCAGAUGGCCAGUUACCUUUAGCAUAAACUAUGUCCACUGAUAGAAAUAUUGCUGAAUAUCGAGGAAUACGCACAGCAGAAAUGCUAGAAGGAUUGUGGAUAAUGGGAUGGCUAGGAAAGUCCUAUUGCUGGCGGGGUAAAUUUGAAGGAUUAAGAGCAGGACUAGAAAUAUGCAGACAAAACAAACUGAAAUUUGCAAAUAAGAAAUUUGCAACAUUUCCCAGGCUUGUGGUAAUAUAUUCAUUCAUAUAGAGUGUGUUAGUUUGGAAAAGCAAGUCGAUAAUGAAGAUUGGGAUAACAACAUACCUAAAAAUGCUCAGCUUAGCGUCAGGCUCAGAGUGGGUGGUUGUAUUGAUCACAGCCCUGUUGAAUGGAACUGCCGUUGCUGCUUUUGCUGUGCCUUAGAUCUGUCUUGGAAACCUGGGGAAGUCCCAGUCGUUCCAGCAAGGCCCUUGAUAAAAUCUCAGUUUCAGGUCCUCAAGGUGACGCAUCCUUUCGUCACCUUGUGGUGUCUCUAACUAUGUGCCCCUGCCUCUCACAAAGCUGUGAGCAUGUGCAUCCUCUGGGAUGCUAAACGGGCCCUGGCUCCAGCUCUUGGUUUGUGUUCCAGAAUCCUGCUGCCAAGAGUGUGGUCCCCACACUGUGUCAUGUCAGCAUUGUGUCACCCAGGGCUUAUGGGAAACAGACUCUGGGGCUCUAGCCCAGGGCUGUGGUAUGAAAAUCUGCGAAUUCCCAAGAUUUCAGGGAACUCAAAUACACACGAAAGUUUGAGAAACACCAGCCCAGAGAACAACUCAGCAUUCCUUCCAGAUUUAGAAACGUUACUUUUCUGGUGUUCUUAUUUAAAAAUGGGAAGUUGCACAGCUAAUCAAGGAAGGCUGCUUUGCAGCCCCUGAAUUUUAAACUUCUGGUUGGAGGAGAAAUGGCUUCCUUUUUUCCCACACUUUGAUCUCCAAUGACCACAAUCGGAGGUCCUCAUGGAACAGAGAGAUGACACACAACUCCGUCCAUGGCAGAUGACCUGAAGACAACCCUGAUUCGAAUAUUCUCUUGUCUGCGGUGCUUAGACACGUCAGUCAGCCUCUUCUACUCUGGCCAUCCUGAAUCUUUCUCAAUUGAAUAGCAAGUACUUGCAGCAUCCUAACUAAGUCCACGAGGGAAAAUGGCCGUACCCUGCUGAAGCAGUACCAAAAAGAGGGAACCUCAAGUUCUGUGCUGUCUUCAGGCCGUUUCCCGGAAUUACGACUCUGCCCUUGCUUUGAUUUCACAAGCGGCUCUGGAGGUGUAUUUCCUUGAUUUGCAACUUUCAUUGCUUUUUGUCAUCUUUUUGGCCCUGCACUUGAGAGCCAGUCCCUGGUUUCACCGUCUGCCUCUCCUGGGACACAGCUCAUGCUCAUUCUCUUCAGGGGACUCAAGUACCUUCUGGGCUCCGCUAAGCCCUAACCCUGGUGAGUCAUCUCCUCUGCCUGGUUAGGGACCUUCUGGAUUUUACCCAGUCCCCAGAAUAAGUGGAAUCAGAUGCAUUCUUAAAACGUGAGCUUCUUGGGCUGGCCUAGUGGUUAAGUUUGGCACACUCUGCUUAGGCUGUCCUGGUUCAG